rnacentral:rRNA from 1 species
GUGGGGAAUUUUGGACAAUGGGCGCAAGCCUGAUCCAGCAAUGCCGCGUGCAGGAAGAAGGCCUUCGGGUUGUAAACUGCUUUUGUACGGAACGAAAAGGCUCUGGUUAAUACCUGGGGCUCAUGACGGUACCGUAAGAAUAAGCACCGGCUAACUACGUGCCAGCAGCCGCGGUAAUACGUAGGGUGCAAGCGUUAAUCGGAAUUACUGGGCGUAAAGCGUGCGCUGGCGGUUUUGUAAGACAGACGUGAAAUCCCCGGGCUCAACCUGGGAAUGGCGUUUGUGACUGCAAAGCUGGAGUGCGGCAGAGGGGGAUGGAAUUCCGCGUGUAGCAGUGAAAUGCGUAGAUAUGCGGAGGAACACCGAUGGCGAAGGCAAUCCCCUGGGCCUGCACUGACGCUCAUGCACGAAAGCGUGGGGAGCAAACAGGAUUAGAAACCCCAGUAGUCC